rfam:Camelus ferus unplaced genomic scaffold scaffold487, whole genome shotgun sequence.
GAGGGUAUAGAUCAGUGGUAGAGUGUAUGCUCGGCAUGCACAAGGUCCUGGGUUCAAUCCCCAGUACCUCCA